rnacentral:tRNA from 1 species
UUUCUUAUAGUUUAAUAAAAUAUUAAUUUUGUAAAUUAAAGAUGAAUUUUCUAAGGGCU